CCAAUAGCGUAUAUUAAAGUUGUUGCAGUUAAAAAGCUCGUAGUUGAAUUUCGGGAUCAGUACGCUGGUCGUGCCUUCGGUAUGUACUGGUGUUACUGGUUCCUACCUUCUGACGAACCGUCAUGUCAUUAAUUUGGUGUGGCGGGGAAUCAGGACUGUUACUUUGAAAAAAUUAGAGUGUUUAAAGCAGGCUCGCGCUUGAAUACAUUAGCAUGGAAUAAUGAAAUAGGACGUUUGAUCCUAUUUUGUUGGUUUCUAGGAUUGACGUAAUGAUUAAUAGGGAUAGUUGGGGGCAUUAGUAUUCAAUUGUCAGAGGUGAAAUUCUUGGAUUUAUUGAAGACUAACUACUGCGAAAGCAUUUGCCAAGGAUGUUUUCAUUAAUCAAGAACGAAAGUUAGGGGAUCGAAGACGAUCAGAUACCGUCGUAGUCUUAACCAUAAACUAUGCCGACUAGGGAUCGGAUGAUGUUAAUUUUUUAAUGACUCAUUCGGCGCCUUAC
rnacentral:rRNA from 1 species